rnacentral:rRNA from 1 species
GACGAACGCUGGCGGCGUGCUUAACACAUGCAAGUCGAACGGAAAGGCCCUGCUUUUGUGGGGUGCUCGAGUGGCGAACGGGUGAGUAACACGUGAGUAACCUGCCCUUGACUUUGGGAUAACUUCAGGAAACUGGGGCUAAUACCGGAUAGGAGCUCCUGCUGCAUGGUGGGGGUUGGAAAGUUUCGGAGGUUGGGGAUGGACUCGCGGCUUAUCAGCUUGUUGGUGGGGUAGUGGCUUACCAAGGGUUUGACGGGUAGCCGGCCUGAGAGGGUGACCGGGCAAAAUGGGACUGAGAGACGGACCAGAGUCCUACGGGAGGCAGGAGUGGGGAAUAUUGCAAAAUGGGCGGAAGCCUGAUGCAGCAAAGCCGCGUGCGGGAUGACGGCCUUCGGGUUGUAAAAAGCUUUCGCCUGUGACGAAGAGUGAGUGACGGUAAUGGGUAAAGAAGCACCGGCUAACUACGUG